rnacentral:tRNA from 1 species
CAGAAAAUAGUAUAAUUAAGAAUAUAAAUUUUGGGGAUUUAUGGUGAGAUAAUCUUUUCUGA